CCCAUGUGUCACCUCUUAACUGAGGCAUUGA
rnacentral:piRNA from 1 species